UACAGAGGUCUCAACCGUUGUUCGGAUUCAUUGGGCGUAAAGGGUGCGUAGGCGGUCGGGUAAGUCGGAUGUGAAAUCUCAGGGCUCAACCCUGAAACUGCAUUCGAUACUGCCUGGCUAGGGUACUGGAGAGGAGACUGGAAUUUACGGUGUAGCAGUGAAAUGCGUAGAUAUCGUAAGGAAGACCAGUGGCGAAGGCGAGUCUCUGGACAGCAACUGACGCUGAGGCACGAAGGCCAGGGGAGCAAACGGG
rnacentral:rRNA from 1 species